AAUGCAUUUCAGGACCCAAGUUCAAUAUUUACAAAAUAAGUCGUCCUUUAUCAGCAUAUAUCACUGUUGCCAGCCCAAGGAUUAUGUUGCUAUCUCAUAUAUACAGACAGGUGAAGCAGCCAGAAAAAAUGAUUGAGAUAAGAGUGAAGGUAAUCAGGGAAAAAGAAAACAUAAUUAAAUUCUUUAUGGGAAAGGUUCCAAAACAUAGAGCAGAACACUAGCACCCAUAGACCAGAAACACUAGCAGUGUUUCUACAGCAGAAACAGAUAUGAUGUUUUUUGCCAAUUGAUUUGUGAGCAAUGUAUCGGGUUUAUCAAAAACAAAGGAGUAAUCAUCUUAUUAACAAGAGAGGAAUCAUCCUGUUGAGAAAGAAAAAGAACAGAACAGUGAGAGUACAGAGCACCCAGGUGGUGGGAAGCUUUGGAAACCUCAUCAGUGAGCCAUAGUCAAUGACAUAAAGUCCAAAGUGAGGCCAUGCAGGGUCUGUUUCAUUAGACUGUUGAAGUGAAAAGAUAUAUACUCUCUAAGCUGUGUAACAAAUGAAUAUGAAUUUAAAUUCCAGUUUUAAUUCUCCAAAAUAUUUUCAGAAAAUUUAGCAAAUGACUUCAUGGACUUAAGGACUGGGCCCAUAAGAAAUUAAUGGAACUUAUUCCAUUAGUUAGAAAGCAAUUUACAGAAUGUCCAGAAAAAUAAGCCUGAUUUCUGCCCCCUAAAGCUUUUUCUUACUUCCUCAGCAGAAAUGAAAAUUAUCCCUUUUUGCAGUUCUUAUGGAAAGCUGUUGCCUUGCAUUUCUUGCUAAAGCAAGAUGGAGAGACCAAUUCAGUACACAGUGGUUUUAUAAUGUAUAAUCUAGUUUAAAUUGCACCGUAUCAUAAGACAUGAAAAUCCACGGUUUUCCUCCUGUACAAAAAGUAGUCUAGAUACAAGCCAGAGUGAAGACUCAUUCUCUGAACAAUAAGAGACUGUAGCUGGCACUGCUGAAUGUACAACUUUCUACAGCAAGGUCAUGGCCAGGCUGGAAAAUUCUGCUUCUAUAAAUUUUAUUGACUUUCAGUUUCUGAUAAUACAAAGUGAAAGCACACUGAACUCUGGCAUUGUGCCACAGGAGACUAUUUAAUUCUGAGAGCCAAACCCCGCAGUUUGCUGAGUCACAGAAAACUUACAGUGAAAAGUUUGUGUAAAUGAAAGGCACCUUUUGUCAAUGACAAAUUUGUAAUGUACUUUUGACCAGACUUCAGUUUAUUUUCUGUCCCUCUCACAGGGGAAUAUAACGAGAAUAUAACUCAGAGAGAAAAAUAUUGCUUCUGCAUGUAAAGCUAUUUGAAAACCUUCCAGUUUGCCUGGCUCAUAACCCUUCCUCAGUUUCCCUAGUGACUGUGUGGUAAGAGGAACAAAACAGCUCCAGGAGAAAUAUAAUUUAAUUCCACUGAUUCUUGUUCCACUGUUACGAUCAGACACUGUCAGUCUGCUUCAGUGAAAUAAAGAAAAUGUAGAAUAUAGCUACUUUUUAAAUACAUUUUCUUUUCUGCUUGUAAGGCUUUGAUUUCCUUAUGACAGAGGGUGACCCAAAUUAUAUUCUUCAGUAGGAAUAGAUUUGCAAAAAGCACCUUAACGCCUGCCCCAAGGAUCGUAAAUAAGGACAACAGCCUUCAGACCCGGAACUUUGGAAGGCCUCCAAGGGCUGCACGUGCUUUGAUGAAGAGGAAGAUGAUGAAAGAGGAGUCCCAAACUCCCCCAGACUCAAUUCCCAAAGGGGUGUGCCAGGGUGCAGAAUGGGGCAGAGCCGGGAGGUGGACGAACAGGGACUGGAUGGACAUCAUUAUAAAAUUGUAACACCUGAGUCAAAACCGCACGCACAACAGUUGUAUUCCCAGAGCCCAGUGGCUCAUUAAAGCUUUCUGCUUUCUUAUCUUAUCUUAUACCCUAA